rnacentral:rRNA from 1 species
GACGAACGCUGGCGGCGUGCCUAAUACAUGCAAGUAGAACGCUGAAGGAGGAGCUUGCUUCUCCGGAUGAGUUGCGAACGGGUGAGUAGCGCGUAGGUAACCUGCCUGGUAGCGGGGGAUAACUAUUGGAAACGAUAGCUAAUACCGCAUAACAGUAGAUGUUGCAUGACAUUUGCUUAAAAGGUGCAAUUGCACCACUACCAGAUGGACCUGCGUUGUAUUAGCUAGUUGGUGAGGUAACGGCUCACCAAGGCGACGAUACAUAGCCGACCUGAGAGGGUGAUCGGCCACACUGGGACUGAGACACGGCCCAGACUCCUACGGGAGGCAGCAGUAGGGAAUCUUCGGCAAUGGACGGAAGUCUGACCGAGCAACGCCGCGUGAGUGAAGAAGGUUUUCGGAUCGUAAAGCUCUGUUGUAAGAGAAGAACGAGUGUGAGAGUGGAAAGUUCACACUGUGACGGUAUCUUACCAGAAAGAGACGGCUAACUACGUG